AUAAAUAAAAACAAAACAAAAAAACGCGUUUUGAAUAAUUCAGAUAAUGAAUUAUGGACGAAAAAGGGCUUAAAGGGAAAUUUACAUUCCCUAGUAAUCUCGAAUAUUCGAUCAAAUCCCGAUUUCCACUCUUCAACUUCUCCUCUUCGUGGUUAAUGUAGGGUAAAUUAGAGUAGAAUUUCUGAAGACAAAAAAUCAAAAUUUCAGCCACUUUUGUCACGAAUCGAAGAGAAACUGAAGAAAUAGUUCAUCAUUGCUGCCGGAAAAAAUAAGAUCGAAGAAGCGGCGAGGCCUAUCGUUGACACUGAAUUAGGGCUCCUUUCGUUUGGAGUUUUGGGAACAGGGAAAAAUUGGGAUAUGGAACCUCGUUGUCGCCUCUGGAAGGAUUUGUCCGGCAAGAUCUCUGAGAAUUGACUCAGCGCCACACUCCUUCUCAGCCCCGUCGUCGGCACCUAUUCAUAUGUGCAGUAGGACCUGAAAAAGGAGAAGAUGGAGCACAGAUACUGAAGUUAGUUAUCAAUACUCGAAUUAUCUGUGACUCUGAAAAGCUCUCUACCAUCUAGUUUUACUGGAAAAUAAGCUGAUAUGUAUUGCCUUCUGGUUGCUGGUUUUGGAUUCUGAAUUUAUCUUUGGAUUUGCAGUCAGUUUCUUUUUUAUGCGUGGAAAUGUUCAUGUAUUUCGUGUAUGCUACAAAAUUGUCUGCCUUCAAUGUUGGCAUUUAAGUUCUCUUUUUGUGGGUCAGAGUAUGUGGUUCUGUCAAAAUUUCUUGUUUAGCAUGUUAUAACUUCAUUGGUAUUCACUGAGCUGCUUUUCAUAUAUGCCAAUGCAUAUUCAUGU